GCCACUUCUAGCCCAACCACCCACCCAUAUAACUAAACACACUAUUAAAACAAAACAUUCACCAUAUUUAAAGUAUAGGAGAUAGAAAUACACCUCAGGAGCUAUAGAGAUAGUACCGUAAGGGAAAGAUGAAAGAUCAGUUAACAGCGCUAAAAAGCAAAGAUUCACCCUUGUACCUUUUGCAUAAUGAAUUAGCUAGAAACCACUUGGCAAAAAGAAUUUUAGUCAAAGACCCCGAAACCAGGCGAGCUACCUGUGAGCAGCUUCUUAAGAGCGAACCCGUCUAUGUGGCAAAAUAGUGGGACGACUUACAGAUAGAGGUGAAAAGCCAAACGAGCCCGGUGAUAGCUGGUUGUCCAAGUAAGAAUUUCAGUUCGACUUUAUGCUUGCCAACAGAGACUAUAAUCAAAAUGCAAGCAUAAAAUCUAGUCUAAGAGGGGACAGCCCCUUAGAGUUAGGAUACAGCCUGAGUUGGAGAGUAAGUUCUACCCGCCACCAUAGUUGGCCUAAAAGCAGCCAUCAAUUAAGAAAGCGUUAAAGCUCAACCUCAACCCUAAACUAAAUUCCACACUAUAAACCACGAACUCCCAAAACACUAACACUGGACCAAUCUAUAUACUUAUAGAAGAAACACUGCUAAUAUGAGUAACAAGAACCCACUUUCUCCUUGGCACAAGUUUAUAUCAGAUCGAAUACCCACUGAUAGUUAACACCCAUACGUAAACACCCACACCUGAAAACUUACGUAAUUUCUACUGUUGGCCCAACACAGGAGUGCAUUCAGGGAAAGAUUAAAAGGAGUGGAAGGAACUCGGCAAACCAAAGCCCCGCCUGUUUACCAAAAACAUCACCUCUAGCAUCACAAGUAUUAGAGGCACUGCCUGCCCAGUGACGCAAGUUCAACGGCCGCGGUAUCCUGACCGUGCAAAGGUAGCAUAAUCAUUUGUUCCUUAAUUAGGGACUUGUAUGAAUGGCAACACGAGGGCUCAACUGUCUCCCGCUCCAAGUCAGUGAAAUUGACCUCCCCGUGAAGAGGCGGGGAUAAGACAAUAAGACGAGAAGACCCUAUGGAGCUUUAAUUAACUGGCUUACACAAACAAAUCACCCCUCCACACGAGCCCAACAAAUUAUGCCUCUAAGCCAGAAAUUUUGGUUGGGGUGACCUCGGAGCACAGAUCAACCUCCGAAUGAAUAUAGCCACGACUAACCUGUCUAAGCAACUAACCCAUCAAUUGACCCAAUUUAUUGAUCAAUGGAACAAGUUACCCUAGGGAUAACAGCGCAAUCCUAUUCUAGAGUCCAUAUCGACAAUAGGGUUUACGACCUCGAUGUUGGAUCAGGACACCCAAAUGGUGCAACCGCUAUUAAAGGUUCGUUUGUUCAACGAUUAAAGUCCUACGUGAUCUGAGUUCAGACCGGAGCAAUCCAGGUCGGUUUCUAUCUAUUCACCCACUCCUCCCAGUACGAAAGGACAAGAGGAGUAGAGCCCACUGCACCCCAGCGCUCUAAGCCCAAUAGAUGAAACAAUCUUAAUCUAGUAAACUAAUUCCACCCUGCCCGAGACCAGGGCUU
rnacentral:rRNA from 1 species